AUAAUCUUUGGUCUUUAUUUUCGUUCUUAUGGUUGAUCUUAUUUACAUGUACCUUCGCAAAUCUUAACUCUAUUUGGGUUAGUUGCAGUUGAUAUCCCUGUAACCAAAGAAGGUUUAAGGUUUAACCAAAGACGGUUCUCAGGCCAAACACCACUGUAGAUAAAACGCUUGCAGCAAGGAGCUACAAUUAUAGAGAUGAACGACAUUUGCAUUGAGGUACAUGAAUUCAUUUACAAAGGCUACUCCAUUGUUUAAUAUGCUGACAAUCAGCUAGACUUCAGAACUGCCUGUCGUGAUCUCAGUACAAGAUGGCUGAGAUGGGUUAGGUCAGGUUUUACUUGGCACGCAAGAUUGAAGGUGAUAUGAAUGAUGUGGCCACAAGUCUUAACUUGAUAUUGGCUUACUCUCUAGAGAAUGUGUUUUGAUUUAUGUGGCCAUUCAAUUUCCCCUGAGAUAAGAUAAGAUAAACUAGGUCGAUGAUAGGUGAUAACAUUUCUUUCAUGUGAUAGGAUUGCAAUUUCUUUAUUAUUUUUCUUCAUUUCUUAUAUUAUAAAGGCAACAGGAUUCAUGUACUGUUCUUUCCACACAAAAUACAAAAUGAAUACAUUGAAUCAUUGAUAACAUGUGAUUUGAAGGAAAUUUCACUUUUUAUGCACUGGAAAUCAAUUGAGCUAAUGAGUUGAGGCAGCAUUAUAGGAACAUUGUUGGAUUCGACCGUGUUUGAACUUAUAACCUAAAGACAAUUCAUUACAUAAAUAGCAUAAAAAUAAUUAAACUUUGAAGACGCUGUGCCAUAUCAUGUAUAAAUGGCUUUGACCUUUAAUUUUCUCAUGCCACUACAAAAGCACUUGAUGAACCAGUGAAAUGCCGAAUUGAUCCCAUAAGCCCUUUUGAAGCACCGAAAUGUCUUAUUCUGUAUACUCCCG